UUGAGGAGUGGCUUCCGGAGCUAACGCGUUAAGUCGACCGCCUGGGGAGUACGGCCGCAAGGUUAAAACUCAAAUGAAUUGACGGGGGCCCGCACAAGCGGUGGAGCAUGUGGUUUAAUUCGAUGCAACGCGAAGAACCUUACCUACUCUUGACAUCCAGAGAACUUACCAGAGAUGCAUUGGUGCCUUCGGGAACUCUGAGACAGGUGCUGCAUGGCUGUCGUCAGCUCGUGUUGUGAAAUGUUGGGUUAAGUCCCGCAACGAGCGCAACCCUUAUCCUUUGUUGCCAGCGGUUCGGCCGGGAACUCAAAGGAGACUGCCAGUGAUAAACUGGAGGAAGGUGGGGAUGACGUCAAGUCAUCAUGGCCCUUACGAGUAGGGCUACACACGUGCUACAAUGGCGCAUACAAAGAGAAGCGACCUCGCGAGAGCAAGCGGACCUCAUAAAGUGCGUCGUAGUCCGGAUUGGAGUCUGCAACUCGACUCCAUGAAGUCGGAAUCGCUAGUAAUCGUAGAUCAGAAUGCUACGGUGAAUACGUUCCCGGGCCUUGCACUCCCCGCCCGUCAAAA
rnacentral:rRNA from 1 species